rnacentral:lncRNA from 1 species
GGGUAGACACCGCGCCACCCGCUCCGGGACGCCGCCCAGCGACAAGGCCGCGGGGUCAGCGUGUCUGUACCGGUGCUGCAACGGGAGGGUCGGGCGGCGACGCUCUCACUGCCGGGCCAGAAGGAGGCCUCCCGGCUCCCUCACGCUAGAAGGGAGCUGGUUACCAGAGGUUUUCAGAGACGCCAAAGUUUUGCCAGAAUUUGUUGCAAGCACAUGAAAGAUUUUGUGGCUGAAGUAAUGUAAAACCAUUGAUCAAACCGGAAAUUGAGACACAGCCAGCGUCACACAACAGGCCAUCUGAAAGGCUGGAAUAGCAUCGAGGGAGUCUCCCUGGAACCAAGCAGCCAAGGCAGGCUAAUGGUGAAGGCCCAGGCACAGUAAUGGUCCCCUGGAGAUGGAGUCCUGCUCUGUCAUCCAUGCUGGAGUGCAGUGGCGUGAUCUCAGCUCACUGCAACCUCCGCCUCCUGGGUUCAAGUGAUUCUCCUGCCUCAGCCUCCCAAGUAGCUGGGAUUACAAGUGUGCACCAUCACACCCUGCUGAUUUUUGUAUUUUUAGUAGAGACAGGGUUUCACCAUGUUGGCCAGGCUGUUCUUGAACUCCUGGCCUAAAGCGAUCCACCCGCCUUGGCCUCCCAAAGUCCUGGGAUUACAGGCGUGAGCCACCGUACCUGACCCCUGUCCCUGAACAUUUGUCACAAUAUAUUAUGAGUGAAUGAGUAAGAACUCUAUUUUA